rnacentral:rRNA from 1 species
UUCUGGUUGAUCCUGCCGGACCCACUGGCUAUCGGGGUGGGACUAAGCCAUGCGAGUCCAUGUCUUCAAGCCAACGGAGAAGACACGGCGUACGGCUCAGUAACACGUAGCCAACCUACCCUCAGGACGGGAAUAACCCCGGGAAACUGGGGCUAACACCAGAUAUGUGAGAAGGCCUGGAAUGGUUUCUCGCCCAAAGGACGUCGGAACCCAUG